rnacentral:rRNA from 1 species
AUUGAACGCUGGCGGCAUGCCUUACACAUGCAAGUCGAACGGCAGCACGGGGGCAACCCUGGUGGCGAGUGGCGCACGGGUGAGUAAUGCAUCGGAACGUGUCCUCUUGUGGGGGAUAACCAGUCGAAAGACUGGCUAAUACCGCAUGAGCUCGAGAGAGGAACGCGGGGGACCGCAAGGCCUCGCGCGAGAGGAGCGGCCGAUGCCGGAUUAGCUAGUUGGCGGGGUAACGGCCCACCAAGGCGACGAUCCGUAGCUGGUCUGAGAGGACGACCAGCCACACUGGGACUGAGACACGGCCCAGACUCCUACGGGAGGCAGCAGUGGGGAAUUUUGGACAAUGGGCGCAAGCCUGAUCCAGCCGUGCCGCGUGUGUGAAGAAGGCCUUCGGGUUGUAAAGCACUUUCGGGCGGAACGAAAUCGCGCGGGUGAACAAUCCGCGUGGAUGACGGUACCGCAAGAAGAAGCACCGGCUAACUACGUGCCAGCAGCCGCGGUAACAC